CACAAGCCACAGGGAGUGAGAAACCUCAUGACUGGACAAAACCCUCUUGGCCAACAUUAAUCAGCAUCUAUGGUGGAUAGGUCACUGUGAGGGGCAUUUUUCACACCUGAUCGUCACAACCCACUAAGGUCGGCAUUACAAGCCCCAGUGGACAGAGAGGGGUGCUGAGUUUUGAGGAUGAAUUUCACUGCACAAGAUCACACAUUAGAGAAGCCAGAACCCGACCUCCCCGCUAACAGCGGAAGCACCGAGCUCUCAGUUGCAACUCACUACUUCUGGAUUCUUCCCUUCCCGGCAGAGUGGAGCUGCGCCCUCUGAUUUGUGAGAAGGGGAUCUCCAGGAAGCCCUGCCGGCUGCCUCCCCAGGCUGGACCUCACAGUGUCCCCGUUUCCUCUUCUCCUCACUGGGUCCACACACGCCUGGGCCCCGGCCAUUACUUCCAUUCCCGGCCACACCCUGCUUUGUCCCCGAGCCCUACUUCAGCUCCGUCUUGCGGUGACACCGUCCUGCACAGUCCACUGCUGUACCAGGUUUUGCUGCGAGGAGGUGGUGCCUGCUGACCUCAGUGCGAAUUACGACAUCCCGAAGGUUUCAUGUUUUAAAGUCGUCCGUUUCCAUGAGGAGGAACUCUAUUUCCACCCAUUCCAGGAAAAGAUUAGCAGCUUGAAAUCACUUUGACAGUGGUAGUCGCUCUACUGAAUACCACAGGGAAUUUUAAUUCCAGCCUGUGAAACUGUAAUUGCUUCCCACGGAGAAGCGAGGAAUGCUGGGUACGGCCACGGCCAAGCUCAGCGACGGGGCUGCCACAUCAGAACUACUUGCUGUUUCUCAGAAAUCGCUCCAGUUUCCAUAUGGGGAAUGGAAGUAAAUUAACAGAGGCUGUCAGCUGUUCGGACAGCAGUGUGACAGAGGUGGGUGACCGCCCAGCACAAAAGGGGAUUAAAAAGUACCUGCUAUCAAAGUCAAACCAUCUGAGAAACUGUUCCCUGGCCAUGUUUGGAACAAAGACAAUUUGGAGCUACCACACCUGAGUACAACACACUGGAGAAAAGAGGAAAUGACCUGCAAAGGGAAGGGCUUGCUGCCUGCCAGCUUCAGAAGGAUGAACUGCAGGGAUCACUAUCCUUGCCUUUUCCGGCAAGACCAGGUCCGAGGUGACACCCAGAGACACAGGCUGAUCCCCUUUCAUCAAGCACUGAGAACGAGCAGUCUUCCCAUGCCACCUACUCACAUUUCAAAUAUCACUGCAAGAAACUCUAGACUUGCCCACGCAUUUCAGAGAAACAGAGUAUUUAUGAUUGCUUACCUGGAGGCAUGUGGCGGUGACUUUCUGCGAGCUCACACCUGUGACUUUAACACUGGGGUGACACAGGUUUCACAUUUAAUGUUGCUAGGAACUCAGGGCAGCUCCUCUGACAGACAGCUCGACUUUGCCACACAGCACAAGGGAAAGCGGGUGCUAGAUUGCUUGCCCCCCACCCCCUGCCACUUUCCUUUGAUUGGCAUGUUUAAUGGCAUUAAAAAUAUUCUUCAGCGUGAAAUACAACAGUUUUAGCUACUGGAUUUUCUUGUAGUUUGUGUAAUUCUGAUUGCCCAAGGAAAUCUGGUUUGAUAACAUUUUUUUAGACUGCUAUCCAACCACUUUUACUUCUUGUAAGACUGGAAGGAACUUUCAACUUUUCUAACACCAAAACUCUGAAGAGAGAAAAUGAGAAGAGGGAUCUUAAUUGGAGACUUGCAAUUCUUACCCUGCGUGGAUGGGGUAAGAUCUUAAACCUGGGAGGAAUGCAGGAGAAGAGAAACUACUGGAGAAUCAGAGGCAAAAUGAUACAAAAACAGGGAAGAUGGGAAGUGGUCACGGGCAAUAGACACAGCAGCUGCUCCUUUUAGAGGUUUGCAAACCAUUCUCCAAAAUGACACAAAACCCAGCCCAGCCUCAAAGUUUCAGUAUGGAAAUCAUUUAAAACACUUAAAAGUAAAUUUCAAAAGAUCUUUUACUUCCUCUAGGAGGGACCCAGACUCCAUAAGCUCCAUUUCUUGGUUCACUUUCUGUUUGACUUCUGAUUUUAGUCUUGGAUAUGGAACCAAAUAGAUGUGAUAUUGAUUAUUUACCAUUGUUUCCUAGGUGAGAGGCUGUGCUUUAAGCAGGUUUACUUAUUCAGGCCCAAAACGUGGAGUUGAGAUUGAAGUCUCGUUUUUCCUGUCUUGUAGACAUGGCAGAUUUUAACACUUUACUGGGCCAAUAAUUAGCUAUUUAGGUUUUCCUGUGAAGUUGGGAACUGCGGUAGUGGACCAUGCCUUGGUAUCUACGUGAAGCAGAAGCCCUUCCCUUGUAUGUCAAAUGAUAAGUAAAUUCACAGAAAUCACAGUGGCUAAAACAAAACAAAACAAAACAAAAAACACAGAAACAAAAAACCAGGAACAUCUGCCCUGUAAGAUCGCAGCCUGAGAUCAUUUACCACAGGUGGCUUUAUGUUUACUGAGAAUAGAGCGUAUGAAUUCUUAACUGAACAGGUGUAGUAACAGAAUUUGAGAUACGGAAGAUCAAAACCAGAAAGCAGGACUCUCAUCUGAUUCGCAGUGGCUAAGCAGAAGAGGUGGCAGGUGCCGGAGGGGUACAGGGUUGCUAGGUCCCCAGAGGACAUUCAGGGUGGCAGUGCCAGUGCAAAGAUUAAGGAUCAAAGAUGCUGACCUACAAAGAAAGCGGCUUGACUCUUACACUGAGGCUUUUUCCUGAUUAAAAUAAUGGUGGGCUCACACAUCCCAUUCCAGCUACGUGCUGCCACAACUACAAAACAAACCCACCCCAGGAUCAGCAGUACAAUGACAAUGACAAGAGACACCGCCAACCGGCGAAGCAGUGGCUUGCUGAAUCAGCUCCUGAAAAAGGCAAGUUUGGAAGCUUGGAAUCAGACCAGAAACCCAGACCCCAAGACAGAGAUUGAACUCUCGCUGAGCCUUGCUUCCUGGUCCCUGAGAAAGUGAUUCCACCAUCAUCGUACAUUUCCAAAGGUGUCAGUGCAGGGCAAGGUAAGAGAAGCAUGUGGCUGCAGCGUCCGCAGGAUCAACAGCCACCCCGCAUGGUGACAGCCCGUCUCUCCAGGGGAACUCUUCAGAGCCUGCACUGCUUAGGAACCUCUUCAGAAGCCUGGACUGGCUCUUCCUUGACUAUCAAGAAUUUGUCUAUUCUAGGUGUCUCAUUCUACAACUUUGCUGACUUUGAAGCAGUGUGAAUGGACCAAGACAAGACACAGGCUCCUGCUUUACCAGAGCGGGCCACAUUGAAAAAAAAAAAGGCUGGAACUACAAGAACCCAUGAGGUACAAUAUGAGUCACGCUCACAGCUGGCAGGGCGGUCGUCCCGCCGCAGCUGGCCCUGCAGGCAUCAGGGCAGGCGCGGUCCUGUCUCAUGCAGCACGGGCUGCUUGCCCGUCGCCCAAGCACGUGGCGGCAGGGGGCUCUGGUCCUUGCACUCCCCUGAGACCCAGGCCGAGGGAACCUUCACCCCGACACAUGAGCGUGCCACACCCGUGGCGGGAGGAGCACCUGGCAGGUGCUUGCUGGCUCUGGACUUGCCUGCCCCAGGUAAAGCCACGACCCUCCCACUCCUCUCGUGUGGGUGCAAACAGGCCACAGCCAGGCCCACCCCCAGAGGGGCCACAGAGAUGUGCCGCUGCGCUCUGGGGGGCAAGGAGCGGGGCUGCAGAGGCGACAGCUUUCCCAGCAACCACUCGCGCUCCCAUGGCUCCCAGGCUCAGUCUUGUCUGGAGUCUGUCCACGGGGAAGCACGCUGCCGACACCACCGUGCCAGCUCUCCUCCCUCCCUCCAGCAGGUCGUGGAGAAAGCAAGCCGGACGUCCAGACCACUGCAGCUCCCCGCCAGCGCGUCACCGAGACGGAGCCUGCUACCACGUGCGAUCUGGUCCCUGCCGCAGGGCUUCUGAGCCUCUGGGACAAGCCUAGUGGAGCUGCAGCCUGGCGGGGGCUGGAGCGGCGUGUGGACCGGGAGAAUCCUGCGGCCGAAACAAUCCUUAAGCAUGGCCGGUGCGGUUGGCGGGGGGCAGCGGGGCUGUCGGACGGCUGGGUCUCUCGUUCUCUCCCAGGAUGAGAAAUGAAGGCGGUGGAGGAGAGACAGGCACAGAGCCAGAGGAGAGGAAGGGUGGGGGCGAGGGGCACAGGGGCACAGAAAAACCUGUUUCCAGUGAGCUGCAGGUGUAAAGCUUUGCUUAUGUCCUGUAUAGUGUGGCUCUAGGCUUUGGGCACCAUUUCCUCAUCUGCUGGGUUUUUGUUCAGUAAGUACCACACUGCUUAUGAACAGAGCAACAGCUGUGUGUAUCUCCAGAAGGGAAGUCCCAGCAGGCUUCUGCACUCUGCCAACACAUCUCCCCCCUCCUGCUAGGCAGUGCCAGGCGAUCCCAAGUAGAUGCCCCACUGCAGGCCUCUGGAGGGGUACGGGCAGAUCCUUUGAAUUAUAAAUGGGAUUUCCUUUUGGAAGCACAGACCAGGUUUGGGAGAAAUGCACUAACACUAAAGCUUUUUUUUUUCAGCUCACCAACUGAUGACAUAAUAAAUUUUAAGUUGGAUUGCUUAAAUGACACAUAAAAGGCUGAAACAUUUUGAGAUAUAGCAAGAGCUAAUCAGGGUUGUGGGUUUAAAGAUGAAAACUGUCCUCAGGUAACCACAGGGCACCUUUUUUCUCUGUGCCUAUUCAAUCCAAACAGCUUGUUUAAAUUCUGAUAGUCAUUGCACUUUACACCAACUCCUUUUAUUGUGAAAAAAGUCAGUUCAUUUAGUAAAGGCCAGUGGUACCAGGUAGAAAUAAAUAUUUGCUGUAAUUGAUUGAAAAUGUCAGAAAAUGGGCACAGCUUGUUUUAGACAAAUCUGUCCAGUUUCUGGAAGUUUGUGGGCGCCAAAGAAGUGGGUAAUUUUCACACUU